rnacentral:rRNA from 1 species
AUUGAACGCUGGCGGCAUGCCUUACACAUGCAAGUCGAACGGCAGCACGGGUGCUUGCACCUGGUGGCGAGUGGCGAACGGGUGAGUAAUACAUCGGAACGUACCUUAUCGUGGGGGAUAACGCAGCGAAAGCUGUGCUAAUACCGCAUACGCCCUGAGGGGGAAAGCGGGGGAUCGCAAGACCUCGCGCGAUUAGAGCGGCCGAUGCCUGAUUAGCUUGUUGGUGGGGUAAAAGCCCACCAAGGCGACGAUCAGUAGCUGGUCUGAGAGGAAGAGCAGCCACACGGGGAAGGAGACACGGCCCAGAAGCCUACGGGAGGCAGCAGUGGGGAAUUUUGGACAAUGGGGGCAACCCUGAUCCAGCAAUGCCGCGUGAGUGAAGAAGGCCUUCGGGUUGUAAAGCUCUUUUGUCAGGGAAGAAACACCGGUUCUAACACAGUCCGGGAAUGACGGUACCUGAAGAAUAAGCACCGGCUAACUACGUGCCAGCAGCCGCCGCGG